CAUUGAAACACCAGUUCCUAUACAUUCACCAAAGUUAAGCAACAUCGAGUCUGGUCAGUACCUAGAUGAGUGAUCACUUGAGAAUACCAGGUGCUGUAA